ACUGCUGUCGCGAGACUUCCUGCUCAUCUGCCGCUCCCUUUGCCGCCGCCUUAGCCCGGGACCCGAACCCAGCCUCUCCCCUACCCGAACACCGGCCCCGGCUCCACCGAGGCCCGGGUCCCCCAGCCCCGUCUCGCCGCCGCCAUGGCGGACCCUAAAUACGCCGACCUUCCCGGCAUUGCCAGGAAUGAGCCAGAUGUUUAUGAAACCAGCGACCUACCUGAGGAUGAUCAAGCGGAGUUCGAUGCGGAGGAGCUGACAAGCACAAGUGUGGAACACAUCAUUGUCAAUCCUAAUGCUGCCUAUGACAAGUUCAAGGACAAGAGAGUGGGGACAAAGGGACUUGGUGAGACUGGGCUGGAAGCUGGGUGGGGGGAAGACUGGAGGAUAAGCAUGAGAAGUGGUUUCCUGUCCUAAAGUCUUAGCGAGUUGCGCUUGGGGGAAGGGGUCCCUCAUGGAGAUAUUUUAUGGAAGCCCUCACAGUCACCUGAGACCAUGACUGCCUUGGGCCUAGAUCAGGCCCUCAGUUCCAUCUUCUUUUCUUGGCAGAUUUCUCAGAUCGUAUUGGAAAAACCAAGAGGACAGGAUAUGAAUCUGGAG
rnacentral:sRNA from 1 species